GAUGAAGAACGUAGUGAAAUGCGAUACGUAAUGUGAAUUGCAGAAUUCAGUGAAUCAUCGAGUCUUUGAACGCACAUUGCGCCCCCUGGUAUUCCGGGGGGCAUGCCUGUCCGAGCGUCAUUGCUGCCCUCAAGCACGGCUUGUGUGUUGGGCCUCCGUCCUCCUCCCGGGGGACGGGCCCGAAAGGCAGCGGCGACACCGCGUCCGGUCCUCGAGCGUAUGGGGCUUCGUCACCCGCUCUUGUAGGCCCGGCCGGCGCUUGCCGACACAUCAAUCUUUUUUCCAGGUUGACCUCGGAUCAGGUAGGGAUACCCGCUGAACUUAAGCAUAUCAAUAAGCGGAGGA
rnacentral:misc_RNA from 1 species